rnacentral:rRNA from 1 species
UACGUAGGUGGCAAGCGUUGUUCGGAAUUAUUGGGCGUAAAGGGCGCGUAGGCGGUCUCGUAAGUCAGCUGUGAAAGCCCGGGGCUCAACCCCGGAGGGUCGGCUGAUACUGCAGGACUGGAGUACGGAAGAGGUAGCUGGAAUUCCCGGUGUAGCGGUGAAAUGCGUAGAGAUCAGGAAGAACACCGGUGGCGAAAGCGCUCUGCUAGGCCGCAACUGACACUCAUGGACGAAAGCUAGGGGAGCGAAUGGG